rnacentral:rRNA from 1 species
GAAACCAGGUGAUCUACCCUUGGUCAGGUUGAAGUUCAGGUAACACUGAAUGGAGGACCGAACCGACUUACGUUGAAAAGUGAGCGGAUGAACUGAGGGUAGCGGAGAAAUUCCAAUCGAACCUGGAGAUAGCUGGUUCUCUCCGAAAUAGCUUUAGGGCUAGCCUCAAGUGAUGAUUAUUGGAGGUAGAGCACUGUUUGGACGAGGGGCCCCUCUCGGGUUACCGAAUUCAGACAAACUCCGAAUGCCAAUUAAUUUAACUUGGGAGUCAGAACAUGGGUGAUAAGGUCCGUGUUCGAAAGGGAAACAGCCCAGACCACCAGCUAAGGUCCCAAAAUAUAUGUUAAGUGGAAAAGGAUGUGGCGUUGCCCAGACAACUAGGAUGUUGGCUUAGAAGCAGCCAUCAUUUAAAGAGUGCGUAAUAGCUCACUAGUCGAGUGACACUGCGCCGAAAAUGUACCGGGGCUAAACAUAUUACCGAAGCUGUGGAUUGUCCUUUGGACAAUGGUAGGAGAGCGUUCUAAGGGCGUUGAAGCAUGAUCGUAAGGACAUGUGGAGCGCUUAGAAGUGAGAAUGCCGGUGUGAGUAGCGAAAGACGGGUGAGAAUCCCGUCCACCGAUUGACUAAGGUUUCCAGAGGAAGGCUCGUCCGCUCUGGGUUAGUCGGGUCCUAAGCUGAGGCCGACAGGCGUAGGCGAUGGAUAACAGGUUGAUAUUCCUGUACCACCUAUAAUCGUUUUAAUCGAUGGGGGGACGCAGUAGGAUAGGCGAAGCGUGCGAUUGGAUUGCACGUCUAAGCAGUAAGGCUGAGUAUUAGGCAAAUCCGGUACUCGUUAAGGCUGAGCUGUGAUGGGGAGAAGACAU